rnacentral:rRNA from 1 species
CCUACGGGUGGCAGCAGUAGGGAAUCUUUCACAAUGGGCGAAAGCCUGAUGGAGCAACGCCGCGUGCAGGAUGAAGGCCUUCGGGUUGUAAACUGCUUUUAUCAGCGAGAAAUAUGAUGGUAACUUAUGAAUCAGGAUCGGCUACCUACGUGCCAGCAGCCGCGGUCAUACGUAGGAUCCGAGCAUUAUCCGGAGUGACUGGGUGUAAAGAGUUGCGUAGGUGGCAUAAUAAGUAGCUAGUGAAAUCUGGUGGCUCAACCAUUCAGACUAUUAGCUAAACUGUUAAGCUCGAGAGCGUUAGGGGUAACUGGAAUGUCUAGUGUAGGAGUGAAAUGCGUAGAUAUUAGAAGGAACACCAAUAGCGUAGGCAGGUUACUGGGACGGGUCUGACACUAAGGCACGAAAGCGUAGGGAGCAAACGGGAUUAGAUACCCGAGUAGUC